UGAUACCAGGGUUAUAAUUCCAUAAACCACAUGAGCUUGCUCAAAUGUGGUUUAUGGAAUUCAUGACCCGUCCCAACAUGAGCAUAAAAGUGGAAUGAAAUCCCACGAUAUGCGAAUGUUGGUCAGAUUGCGAGAGUGUGAAGCACGAAGCAAUCUGAAGGUAUCA
rfam:Eubacterium sp. CAG:156 genomic scaffold, scf172